rnacentral:rRNA from 1 species
AUUGAACGCUGGCGGCAUGCUUUACACAUGCAAGUCGAACGGUAACAGGUUAAGCUGACGAGUGGCGAACGGGUGAGUAAUGCAUCGGAACGUGCCCGAUCGUGGGGGAUAACGCAGCGAAAGCUGCGCUAAUACCGCACACGAUCUGAGGAUGAAAGCUGGGGACCGUAAGGCCUCGCGCGAUCGGAGCGGCCGAUGUCAGAUUAGGUAGUUGGUGGGGUAAAGGCUCACCAAGCCGACGAUCUGUAGCUGGUCUGAGAGGACGACAAGCCACACUGGGACUGAUACACGGCCCAGACUCCUACGGGAGGCAGCAGUGGGGAAUUUUGAACAAUGGGCGAAAGCCUGAUCCAGCAAUGCCGCGUGCAGGAAGAAGGCCUUCGGGUUGUAAACUGCUUUUGUACGGAGCGAAAAGGCUCUCUCUAAUACAGGGGGCUCAUGACGGUACCGUAAGAAUAAGCACCGGCUAACUACGUGCCAGCCGCCGCCGUAAGAC